rnacentral:rRNA from 1 species
GUGUCAGCAGCCGCGGUAAUACGGAGGAUCCAAGCGUUAUCCGGAAUCAUUGGGUUUAAAGGGUCCGUAGGCGGUCAGAUAAGUCAGUGGUGAAAGCCCAUCGCUCAACGGUGGAACGGCCAUUGAUACUGUCUGACUUGAAUUAUUAGGAAGUAACUAGAAUAUGUAGUGUAGCGGUGAAAUGCUUAGAGAUUACAUGGAAUACCAAUUGCGAAGGCAGGUUACUACUAAUGGAUUGACGCUGAUGGACGAAAGCGUGGGUAGCGAACAGGAUUAGAUACCCUCGUAGUCC